UCUUCCUCCGUUCAGCUCAAGGUGAGGCGCUGGUUCUGUUUUCUUUGGUUGGUUCCGGCCGGAAUGUUCGGAUUCCAGUCGGACGGUUUGUGCUUCCCGCCGUGGAAGGUUCUGUGUGCAGUCACUUGAUUUAGUCCCAAUGGUUAGAAUAGAACAUUGUAGUCUUGACAACCAUAAGAAACCACCUGGCAUUUAGUUGGACGGGAGUCCCCUGAGGGAAUCUGGCGGAACGUUCUGGAUUGUAUUUGCGAAACCUCGAGCCGUUGCCAACGGAAACUAUUUUUCAGUCGGUUUCCAUUGGGAAUUGUUGCCCCUAUCUUAAACAACUAAAGUUUGAUAUUAAAUACAUACUGACACGUACGUCGUACAAUAUGUUGAUCAUUUCCGAUGGUUGCGCCGUACUCUUAACCACGAUGACGUUGCGGGACUCUCACUGCGUACAAAACAGCGUUCUACUUGCGGGCCCAUUUUUGACAUCAAGGUCGAAGAUAAUUUGACAUUUCUUCAACGGAACCCAGCACCUGAAUAUGGCUGAGUAUAUUUGAUUUAAUAUCGAUACUGCUUAGUGUUCUUUGUUACUUCAGCUUUUGUACGUUCUAAAUAUCUGCUGUCAUUAAUUGGCACAGAAGUUAAACCAUACCCAAUGGAAUGAAGUUAAACGACUUUGGUGCAGAGCUAACAACUGGAUAAUAUAAAAGCUAAAAUAAUGGCCGUCAUUCCCACAUGUUACAGUAGAAGAUACUCUAGAACUGUACAAGGUUAAAAAAGUAACAUGUAGUUUGUCCCAAGGUGUCUGCCUCCUCACCCAGAGCCAGACCUCCACCUCCUCACCCAGAGCCAGACCUCCACCUCCUCACCCAGAGCCAGACCUCCACCUCCUGUCAGAAGUCCUCCAGAACAGCUGAAAGGGGAGGCUGAGAGGCUGGGGACCGGAGGCUUGUGGUGCCAGGGUGGACCGGAGACUGAGGCUGGAGACCAGGGGCCUGCAGCACCGGACCAGAGGGUAACCAUCACCAAGCUCAUCUGAAACACUAAAAUCCACGGAAUCCAUGGCUGAAGGAGGUGAUGGAGGAGCCGUGCUGAUGGAGGAGCCCUGCUGAAGGCCCUGGGCUGGUGGAGGAGCUGAUGGAGGGCCUGCCUGGUGAAUGACGUCUGUCGUGGGACCAGGACUCUGUCUGAGGAGAGCUGCUGGAGGAGCUGAGAUGCUGGAGGACGACUAGGAAUCGACCAACAAGGAUUCCUCGUAAAACGUGUUUCUGGAGCGGAGGCGAGCUGGUAGGGGAGCCGUGAAUCUGGAGGAUGACCAUCACUCUACCAACAAGGAUU
ensembl:lncRNA